AUUGAACGCUGGCGGCAUGCUUUACACAUGCAAGUCGAACGGCAGCGGGGAGGAGCUUGCUUCUCUGCCGGCGAGUGGCGAACGGGUGAGUAAUACAUCGGAACGUGUCGAGAAGAGGGGGAUAACCACCCGAAAGGGUGGCUAAUACCGCAUAAAUUCUGAGGAAGAAAGCUGGGGACCUAGGAAUAGGCCUAGCGCUUUUUGAGCGGCCGAUGUCGGAUUAGCUAGUUGGUGUGGUAAAGGCUCACCAAGGCGAAGAUCUGUAGCGGGUCUGAGAGGAUGAUCCGCCACACUGGGACUGAGACACGGCCCAGACUCCUACGGGAGGCAGCAGUGGGGAAUUUUGGACAAUGGGGGCAACCCUGAUCCAGCCAUGCCGCGUGUAUGAAGAAGGCCUUAGGGUUGUAAAGUACUUUUGUUAGGGAAGAAAAGUCAGCUGUGAAUAAUGGCUGAUACUGACGGUACCUAAAGAAUAAGCACCGGCUAACUACGUG
rnacentral:rRNA from 1 species